rnacentral:rRNA from 1 species
UACGUAGGUGGCGAGCGUUGUCCGGAUUUAUUGGGUUUAAAGGGUGCGUAGGCGGCCCUAUAAGUCAGUGGUGAAAUAUCGCAGCUUAACUGUGAGGGUGCCAUUGAUACUGUAGGGCUUGAGUGAAUUUGAGGUAGGCGGAAUUGACGGUGUAGCGGUGAAAUGCUUAGAUAUCGUCAAGAACACCUAUAGCGAAGGCAGCUUACUAAGCUGUAACUGACGCUGAGGCACGAAAGUGUGGGGAUCAAACAGG